rnacentral:rRNA from 1 species
UUCUAUAGCCAUAUCACCCUGAAAGUGCCUAUCUCAUCUGAUCUUGGAAGCUAAGUAGGAUCAGGCCUGCUUAGUACUUGGAUGGGAGAGUACAGUCAGCCCUCCAUA